GAUUCUGGCUCAGGAUGAACGCUGGCGGCGUGCCUAACACAUGCAAGUCGAACGGAGUAAUUAAGCGGAAGUUUCGGAUGGAAGCAUAGUUACUAGUGGCGGACGGGUGAGUAACGCGUGGGCAACCUGCCCUGGUACCGGGGGAUAACACUUAGAAAUAGGUGCUAAUACCGCAUAAGCGCACAGCUUCGCAUGAAGGUGUGUAGAAAAACUCCGGUGGUACAGGAUGGACCCGCGUCUGAUUAGCUAGUUGGUGGGGUAGAGGCCUACCAAGGCGACGAUCAGUAGCCGGCCUGAGAGGGUGACCGGCCACAUUGGGACUGAGACACGGCCCAAACUCCUACGGGAGGCAGCAGGUGGGGAAUAUUGCACAGGUGGGGGAAACCCUGAUGCAGCGACGCCGCGUGAGUGAAGAAGUAUUUCGGUAUAGUAAAGCUCUAUCAGCGAGGGAAAGAAAAUGACGGUACCUGACUAAGAACGCCCCGGCUAACUACGUGCCAGCCGCCGC
rnacentral:rRNA from 1 species